GACGAACGCUGGCGGCGUGCUUAACACAUGCAAGUCGAACGGAAAGGCCCUGCUUUUGUGGGGUGCUCGAGUGGCGAACGGGUGAGUAACACGUGAGUAACCUGCCCUUGACUUUGGGAUAACUUCAGGAAACUGGGGCUAAUAUCGGAUAGGAGCUCCUGCUGCAUGGUGGGGGUUGGAAAGUUUCGGCGGGUGGGGAUGGACUCGCGGCUUAUCAGCUUGUUGGUUGGGGAGUGGCUUACCAAGGCUUUGACGGGUAGCCGGCCUGAGAGGGUGACCGGCCACAUUGGGACUGAGAUACGGCCCAGACUCCUACGGGAGGCAGCAGUGGGGAAUAUUGCACAAUGGGCGGAAGCCUGAUGCAGAAACGCCGCGUGCGGGAUGACGGCCUUCGGGUUGUAAACCGCUUUCGCCUGUGACGAAGCGUGAGUGACGGUAAUGGGUAAAGAAGCACCGGCUAACUACGUG
rnacentral:rRNA from 1 species